CUGGAAUCUUCUGAUAUGGGUGCCAAGCAUUUAAUGAUGUUGCAGCUAAUCGUGCAAAGGUCCUUCUUUGAGAGACUUAAUGAUACUCCACCAUCUGCGU